rnacentral:lncRNA from 11 species
GCUAAAUUCAUAAAUACAGUAAUUACUACAUAGCAUUACUGCAUACUGAACUACUUUUUCUGCCAAAUUUGUUGUCUAACAUGAUGUUUUGGUGCUUAAUUUGUAAAAUCAUAACCUAAUUUGAUGUUUAAUAGGCUUUUCCUUAAUGCCUCCUUAUUAUCCAACAUAUUCGCUUAUCCAACAUUCUGCUGGCCCGUUUAUGUUGGAUAAGUGAGACUCUACU